UACGAAGGUGGCAAGCGUUACUCGGAAUUACUAGGCGUAAAGGGCAGGUAGGUGGUCUGAUAAGUCUGUUGUGAAAGCUCCCGGCUUAACUGGGAGAGGUCAAUGGAUACUGUCAGGCUUGAGUAUGGGAGAGGGUGCUGGAAUUCCUGGUGUAGCGGUGAAAUGCGCAGAUAUCAGGAGGAACACCAAUGGCGAAAGCAGGUACCUGGACCAUUACUGACACUCAGCUGCGAAAGCUAGGGGAGCAAACAGG
rnacentral:rRNA from 1 species